AGUGGCGAGCGGGUGAGUAAUAUAUCGGAACGUGCCCAGUCGUGGGGGAUAACGUAGUGAAAUUACGCUAAUACCGCAUACGAUCUAAGGAUGAAAGCGGGGGAUCGCAAGACCUCGCGCGACUGGAGCGGCCGAUAUCAGAUUAGGUAGUUGGUAGGGUAAAGGCCUACCAAGCCAACGAUCUGUAGCUGGUCUGAGAGGACGACCAGCCACACUGGAACUGAGACACGGUCCAGACUCCUACGGGAGGCAGCAGUGGGGAAUUUUGGACAAUGGGCGAAAGCCUGAUCCAGCCAUUCCGCGUGCAGGAUGAAGGCCCUCGGGUUGUAAACUGCUUUUGUACAGAACGAAAAGGUUUCUAUUAAUACUAGGAGCUCAUGACGGUACUGUAAGAAUAAGCACCGGCUAACUAC
rnacentral:rRNA from 1 species